rnacentral:rRNA from 1 species
UACGAAGGGGGCUAGCGUUGCUCGGAAUCACUGGGCGUAAAGCGCACGUAGGCGGCUUUCUAAGUCAGGGGUGAAAUCCUGGAGCUCAACUCCAGAACUGCCUUUGAUACUGGAGAGCUUGAGUCCGGAAGAGGUGAGUGGAAUUCCGAGUGUAGAGGUGAAAUUCGUAGAUAUUCGGAAGAACACCAGUGGCGAAGGCGACUAACUGGACAUGUAUUGACGCUGAGGUGCGAAAGCGUGGGGAGCAAACAGG